GACGAACGCUGGCGGCGUGCUUAACACAUGCAAGUCGAGCGGUAAGGCCCUUUCGGGGGUACACGAGCGGCGAACGGGUGAGUAACACGUGGGUGACCUGCCCUCAGCUCUGGGAUAAGCCUGGGAAACCGGGUCUAAUACCGGAUAUGACUCCAUGACGCAUGUUGUGGGGUGAAAGCCUUGUGCGGCUGAGGAUGGGCCCGCGGCCUAUCAGCUUGUUGGUGGGGUGAGGCCUACCAAGGCGACGACGGGUAGCCGGCCUGAGAGGGCGACCGGCCACACUGGGACUGAGACACGGCCCAGACUCCUACGGGAGGCAGCAGUGGGGAAUCUUGCGCAAUGGGCGAAAGCCUGACGCAGCGACGCCGCGUGAGGGAUGACGGCCUGG
rnacentral:rRNA from 1 species